AUGCACAAAUUUAACUGUGGUAUGCACACUCAUUUUGGUGUCACACAACUGGAGUUAUAUCAUCGCUCUUUCUUUUCCCAUGUCAUGCCCAGUAAUUUAUACUAUUGUUCAAGCUCCAUUGAUAAAUCGAACCUACCUCAAAUUCUGUACGAAGAUGAUGAUCACAAUAAAGUCAUGCUCUCAUCGGAUUCCGACCAUAUAGCGACUGGGUACCAUGCAAAGCAAAUCGCUUGGAAGGUAAUAAGAGGCAAAUUCAACCUUCACUCUACAAAAUCUGCAACACAUCAUAUUAAUUGGAAACUCAAAUCUUGA
rnacentral:rRNA from 1 species